rnacentral:rRNA from 1 species
GUGAGAGGGAGAGCUCAAAUUUGAAAGCUGGUACCUUCGGUAUCCGCGUUGUAACCUCGAGACACGUUUUCCGUGCGGCGCUAUGGACAAGUUCCUUGGAACAGGACAUCGUAGAGGGUGAAAAUCCCGUACUUGCCAUGGAUGUACCGUGCUUUGCGAUACGUGCUCUAAGAGUCGAGUUGUUUGGGAUUGCAGCUCAAAAUGGGUGGUAGACUCCAUCUAAAGCUAAAUAUCGGGGAGAGACCGAUAGCGAACAAGUACCGUGAGGGAAAGAUGAAAAGCACUUUGGAAAGAGAGUUAAAAGUACGUGAAAUUGUCGAAAGGGAAGCGCUUGAAGUCAGCCAUGCCGCUCAGGACUCAGCCUGGCUUUUGCUUGGUGUAUUUCCUGGGUAGCAAGUCAGCAUUGGUUUGGAUCGUCGGAGAAGCAUAGUCGGAAUGUGGCGCCCUCGGGCGUGUUAUAGCCUUCUAUUGGAUACGACGAUCUAGACCAAGGAACGCAGCGCGCCUUAUGGCG